UGUGUGUUGGCUCGGGCGCUUUAAAGACUUUGUCGUAAACGAUUUAUCGUUUGUUUGAGCUUUUCGCAUACGCAAUCCGGCGAACAAUACUCUCAAAGUUUGACCUCAAAUCAGGUAGGAAUACCCGCUGAACUUAAGCAUAUCAAUAAGCGGAGGAAAAGAAACCAACCGGGAUUGCCUUAGUAACGGCGAGUGAAGCGGCAAAAGCUCAAAUUUGAAAUCUGGUACCUUCGGUGCCCGAGUUGUAAUUUGUAGAAGGUAACUUUGGGGCUGGUCCUUGUCUAUGUUCCUUGGAACAGGACGUCAUAGAGGGUGAGAAUCCCGUGUGGCGAGGAUCCCAGUUCUUUGUAAAGUGCUUUCGAAGAGUCGAGUUGUUUGGGAAUGCAGCUCUAAGUGGGUGGUAAAUUCCAUCUAAAGCUAAAUAUUGGCGAGAGACCGAUAGCGAACAAGUACAGUGAUGGAAAGAUGAAAAGAACUUUGAAAAGAGAGUGAAAAAGUACGUGAAAUUGUUGAAAGGGAAGGGCAUUUGAUCAGACAUGGUGUUUUGCGCCCUCUGCUCCUUGUGGGUGGGGGAAUCUCGCAGCUCACUGGGCCAGCAUCAGUUUUGGCGGCAGGAUAAAUCUGCAGGAAUGUAGCUUGCCUCGGUAAGUGUUAUAUCCUGUAGAAAUACUGCCAGCUGGGACUGAGGACUGCGACUUUACGUCAAGGAUGCUGGCAUAAUGGUUAUAUGCCGCCCGUCUUGAAACACGGACCAAGGAGUCUAACGUCUAUGCGAGUGUUUGGGUGUAAAA
rnacentral:rRNA from 1 species